UGAUACCGGAGCAGAUAAAAGUAUAA
rnacentral:piRNA from 1 species